rnacentral:rRNA from 1 species
UACGUAGGGGCAAGCGUUGUCCGGAUUUAUUGGGCGUAAAGAGCGUGUAGGCGGUUUGGUAGGUCCGCUGUGAAACUCGAGGCUCAACCUCGAGACGCCGGUGGAAACCAUCAGGCUAGAGUCCGGAAGAGGAGAGUGGAAUUCCUGGUGUAGCGGUGAAUGCGCAGAUAUCAGGAAGAACACCCGUGGCUAAGGCGGCUCUCUAGUACGGUACUGACGCUGAGACGCGAAAGCGUGGGAGCGAACAGG